GACUACCCCAGAUUGCAAUGGAAAGCAUUUUUUUUGAAUUUAUAUUUUUUGCGGUGAUAAAAAAGCGACUGGAAGAAGCUCUUUUUAUUGCCUGGCAAAAAAAUAAAUUUGGAAAAAAUCUUGAAAUGGAAAGCUGGAAAUAGG
rnacentral:sRNA from 1 species